rnacentral:lncRNA from 1 species
UUUCUUUUUUCGGGGCCACACUCGUGGCAUAUGGAAGUUCCCAGGCUAGGGGUCAAAUCAGAGCUGCAGCUGAUGGUCUAGACCACAGCCACAGCAACACAGGAUCAGAGCUGCAUCUGCGGCCUACACCACAGCUCACGGCAACACCACAUCCUUAACCCACUGAGCAAGGCCAGGAACUGAACCUGAGUCCUCAUGGAUACUAGUCAGGUUCAUUACUGCUGAGCCACAGUGGGAACUCCCCAAGUAAAAACUUCUACUUGUGCAUGGACUUUAUCUGGAAACAGUAACAGGACUCUGUCACUAUGGAAAUAUAAACACCAUCACUCAGCCAGAUGCCUCUUGUUUGCUAAGGACAAACACCCUCAUGGACUCGAUGUGGCUUUUCAAGCGGUUUCUCCUCUUGACUUAAAGAAGGGAUUUUAUCUGAAAAAUGGAAAUGAAGAAGGAGACCAAAUUCCAAGUAGCUUUCAAAACCCCACUCUGAAUUUAGAGACUCUCCUUAGAUAACUGGGAAAUGGACCAGGAUCCUUUCAGGGUCAGUGUUUCAUACGGUGCGGGAUGGGGCCGGAUUAACUCACUGCAUCUGUAAAUGCCAUCCAAAAGUGUGGUCCAGUUCCAGAAAGGGGUCGAGUUAGACAAUGACAGUGGCAGCUGUCAUUUUUUUCUGCACCUGCUUACAAACUGCCAGGUACUGUACUAGUCACUUUAGAGGUACUGCAAUUUAAUCUUCAUAACUGUCCUAUGAAAUAGAUCCCAUUUUACGGAUGAGGAAACUGAGUCACAGAGACGUUAAGGAGCUUGCCCAGAGGCAUACAUACACGACUGGUGAAAGAACCAGGAUUUGGAGGCAAGGGGUCAAUGGUGAGAGAUGACCUUAACCUCUGGGCUGUGGGGGGAGAAUGGGGAGGAGGAAGCUCACUGCUCUUUCAAAGAUAAAGUGACUUUCCCAAGAGCCAACCCUACCCAUGGGCUCCUGGUACACACAAGACUGCUUUUCAAGGCUUUUCGAAAACCACCCAAGACACACAUUAUAUGAAUCCCCCGGAGCUGUCUGAAUAUCAGGAUAGAGGCGUAUUUCAGUUGGGUUCUAUGGUCAGGUGUUUCGGGAAACGAUGGCGAAAAAAGCCCAGGGAGCCCUCGGGAUGAGACCCCCCCCCCCAUGGGCUCGGGCCCACAGUGGUGAACCAAGGGCUGGCCUGGGAGCAGGGGCCCACGUGCUCGGCACAGGCCCAGCGGGGGCCGGGGGGGGGGGAAUCUUAAGGCUGAGAGCACAGGGACAAGACUCACGCAAACAGAAGGCUUUGCUCCUGAGAAAUGCUGCUCCCACUUUGCUCUGGGUUCUUAACCCCCUCCC